AUUGAACGCUGGCGGCAGGCCUAACACAUGCAAGUCGAACGGUAACAGGAAGAAGCUUGCUUCUUUGCUGACGAGUGGCGGACGGGUGAGUAAUGUCUGGGAAACUGCCUGAUGGAGGGGGAUAACUACUGGAAACGGUAGCUAAUACCGCAUAACGUCGCAAGACCAAAGAGGGGGACCUUCGGGCCUCUUGCCAUCGGAUGUGCCCAGAUGGGAUUAGCUAGUAGGUGGGGUAACGGCUCACCUAGGCGACGAUCCCUAGCUGGUCUGAGAGGAUGACCAGCCACACUGGAACUGAGACACGGUCCAGUCUCCUACGGGAGGCAGCAGUGGGGAAUAUUGCACAAUGGGCGCAAGCCUGAUGCAGCCAUGCCGCGUGUAUGAAGAAGGCCUUCGGGUUGUAAAGUACUUUCAGCGGGGAGGAAGGGAGUAAAGUUAAUACCUUUACUCAUUGACGUUACCCGCAGAAGAAGCACCGGCUAACUCCGUG
rnacentral:rRNA from 1 species